rnacentral:lncRNA from 1 species
GAGGAGGUGUGUGUAAGUUGUCCUCUUGUUCCAGAAUGUUUCCUUGUAACUUCUGUUGACAAAAAGGACACAGUCUUCAGUCUGCUGGCCUGGGGUCAGAUUUCACAGUCUGCUGGCCUGGGGUCAGAUUUCACAGUCUGCUGGCCUGGGGUCAGAUUUCACAGUUUUCAGUCUGCUGUCCUGGGUUCAGAUUUCACAGUCUUCAGUCUGCUGGCCUGGGGUCAGAUUUCACAGUCUUCAGUCUGCUGGCCUGGGUUCAGAUUUCACAGUCUUCAGUCUGCUGGCCUGGGUUCAGAUUUCACAGUCUUCAGUCUGCUGGCCUGGGGUCAGAUUUCACAGUCUUCAGUCUGCUGGCCUGGGGUCAGAUUUCACAGUCUUCAGUCUGCAGGCCUGGGUUCAGAUUUCACAGUCUUCAGUCUGCUGGCCUGGGGUCAGAUUUCACAGUCUUCAGUCUGCUGGCCUGGGUUCAGAUUUCACAGUCUUCAGUCUGCUGGCCUGGGGUCAGAUUUCACAGUCUUCAGUCUGCUGGCCUGGGUUCAGAUUUCACAGUCUUCAGUCUGCUGGCCUGGGGUCAGAUUUCACAGUCUUCAGUCUGCUGGCCUGGGGUCAGAUUUCACAGUCUUCAGUCUGCUGGCCUGGGUUCAGAUUUCACAGUCUUCAGUCUGCUGGCCUGGGGUCAGAUUUCACAGUCUGCUGGCCUGGGGUCAGAUUUCACAGUCUUCAGUCUGCUGGCCUGGGGUCAGAUUUCACAGUCUUCAGUCUGCUGGCCUGGGUUCAGAUUUCACAGUCUGCUGGCCUGGGGUCAGAUUUCACAGUCUUCAGUCUGCUGGCCUGGGGUCAGAUUUCACAGUCUUCAGUCUGCUGUCCUGGGUUCAGAUUUCACAGUCUGCUGGCCUGGGUUCAGAUUUCACAGUCUUCAGUCUGCUGGCCUGGGGUCAGAUUUCACAGUCUUCAGUCUGCUGGCCUGGGGUCAGAUUUCACAGUCUUCAGUCUGCUGGCCUGGGUUCAGAUUUCACAGUCUUCAGUCUGCUGGCCUGGGGUCAGAUUUCACAGUCUUCAGUCUGCUGGCCUGGGUUCAGAUUUCACAGUCUUCAGUCUGCUGGCCUGGGGUCAGAUUUCACAGUCUUCAGUCUGCUGGCCUGGGUUCAGAUUUCACAGUCUGCUGGCCUGGGGUCAGAUUUCACAGUCUUCAGUCUGCUGGCCUGGGGUCAGAUUUCACAGUCUUCAGUCUGCUGGCCUGGGUUCAGAUUUCACAGUCUGCUGGCCUGGGGUCAGAUUUCACAGUCUUCAGUCUGCUGGCCUGGGGUCAGAUUUCACAGUCUGCUGGCCUGGGUUCAGAUUUCACAGUCUUCAGUCUGCUGGCCUGGGGUCAGAUUUCACAGUCUUCAGUCUGCUGGCCUGGGUUCAGAUUUCACAGUCUUCAGUCUGCUGGCCUGGGGUCAGAUUUCACAGUCUUCAGUCUGCUGGCCUGGGGUCAGAUUUCACAGUCUUCAGUCUGCUGGCCUGGGGUCAGAUUUCACAGUCUUCAGUCUGCUGGCCUGGGUUGAGAUUUCACAGUCUUCAGUCUGCUGGCCUGGGGUCAGAUUUCACAGUCUGCUGGCCUGGGGUCAGAUUUCACAGUCUUCAGUCUGCUGGCCUGGGGUCAGAUUUCACAGUCUUCAGUCUGCUGGCCUGGGUUCAGAUUUCACAGUCUGCUGGCCUGGGGUCAGAUUUCACAGUCUUCAGUCUGCUGGCCUGGGGUCAGAUUUCACAGUCUUCAGUCUGCUGGCCUGGGGUCAGAUUUCACAGUCUGCUGGCCUGGGGUCAGAUUUCACAGUCUUCAGUCUGCUGUCCUGGGUUCAGAUUUCACAGUCUUCAGUCUGCUGGCCUGGGGUCAGAUUUCACAGUCUUCAGUCUGCUGGCCUGGGUUCAGAUUUCACAGUCUUAGUCUGCUGGCCUGGGUCAGAUUUCACAGUCUUCAGUCUGCUGGCCUGGGGUCAGAUUUCACAGUCUUCAGUCUGCUGGCCUGGGGUCAGAUUUCACAGUCUUCAGUCUGCAGGCCUGGGUUCAGAUUUCACAGUCUUCAGUCUGCUGGCCUGGGGUCAGAUUUCACAGUCUUCAGUCUGCUGGCCUGGGUUCAGAUUUCACAGUCUUCAGUCUGCUGGCCUGGGGUCAGAUUUCACAGUCUUCAGUCUGCUGGCCUGGGUUCAGAUUUCACAGUCUUCAGUCUGCUGGCCUGGGGUCAGAUUUCACAGUCUUCAGUCUGCUGGCCUGGGGUCAGAUUUCACAGUCUUCAGUCUGCUGGCCUGGGUUCAGAUUUCACAGUCUUCAGUCUGCUGGCCUGGGUCAGAUUUCACAGUCUGCUGGCCCUGGGGUCAGAUUUCACAGUCUUCAGUCUGCUGGCCUGGGGUCAGAUUUCACAGUCUUCAGUCUGCUGGCCUGGGUUCAGAUUUCACAGUCUGCUGGCCUGGGGUCAGAUUUCACAGUCUUCAGUCUGCUGGCCUGGGGUCAGAUUUCACAGUCUUCAGUCUGCUGUCCUGGGUUCAGAUUUCACAGUCUGCUGGCCUGGGUUCAGAUUUCACAGUCUUCAGUCUGCUGGCCUGGGGUCAGAUUUCACAGUCUUCAGUCUGCUGGCCUGGGGUCAGAUUUCACAGUCUUCAGUCUGCUGGCCUGGGUUCAGAUUUCACAGUCUUCAGUCUGCUGGCCUGGGGUCAGAUUUCACAGUCUUCAGUCUGCUGGCCUGGGUUCAGAUUUCACAGUCUUCAGUCUGCUGGCCUGGGGUCAGAUUUCACAGUCUUCAGUCUGCUGGCCUGGGUUCAGAUUUCACAGUCUGCUGGCCUGGGGUCAGAUUUCACAGUCUUCAGUCUGCUGGCCUGGGGUCAGAUUUCACAGUCUUCAGUCUGCUGGCCUGGGUUCAGAUUUCACAGUCUGCUGGCCUGGGGUCAGAUUUCACAGUCUUCAGUCUGCUGGCCUGGGGUCAGAUUUCACAGUCUGCUGGCCUGGGUUCAGAUUUCACAGUCUUCAGUCUGCUGGCCUGGGGUCAGAUUUCACAGUCUUCAGUCUGCUGGCCUGGGUUCAGAUUUCACAGUCUUCAGUCUGCUGGCCUGGGGUCAGAUUUCACAGUCUUCAGUCUGCUGGCCUGGGGUCAGAUUUCACAGUCUUCAGUCUGCUGGCCUGGGGUCAGAUUUCACAGUCUUCAGUCUGCUGGCCUGGGUUCAGAUUUCACAGUCUUCAGUCUGCUGGCCUGGGGUCAGAUUUCACAGUCUGCUGGCCUGGGGUCAGAUUUCACAGUCUUCAGUCUGCUGGCCUGGGGUCAGAUUUCACAGUCUUCAGUCUGCUGGCCUGGGUUCAGAUUUCACAGUCUGCUGGCCUGGGGUCAGAUUUCACAGUCUUCAGUCUGCUGGCCUGGGGUCAGAUUUCACAGUCUUCAGUCUGCUGGCCUGGGUUCAGAUUUCACAGUCUGCUGGCCUGGGUUCAGAUUUCACAGUCUUCAGUCUGCUGGCCUGGGGUCAGAUUUCACAGUCUUUAGUCUGCUGGCCUGGGUUCAGAUUUCACAGUCUUCAGUCUGCUGGCCUGGGUUCAGAUUUCACAGUCUUCAGUCUGCUGGCCUGGGUUCAGAUUUCACAGUCUUCAGUCUGCUGGCCUGGGGUCAGAUUUCACAGUCUUCAGUCUGCUGGCCUGGGUUCAGAUUUCACAGUCUUCAGUCUGCUGGCCUGGGGUCAGAUUUCACAGUCUUCAGUCUGCUGGCCUGGGUUCAGAUUUCACAGUCUGCUGGCCUGGGUUCAGAUUUCACAGUCUUCAGUCUGCUGGCCUGGGGUCAGAUUUCACAGUCUGCUGGCCUGGGGUCAGAUUUCACAGUCUUCAGUCUGCUGGCCUGGGGUCAGAUUUCACAGUCUUCAGUCUGCUGGCCUGGGUUCAGAUUUCACAGUCUGCUGGCCUGGGGUCAGAUUUCACAGUCUUCAGUCUGCUGGCCUGGGGUCAGAUUUCACAGUCUUCAGUCUGCUGGCCUGGGUUCAGAUUUCACAGUCUGCUGGCCUGGGUUCAGAUUUCACAGUCUUCAGUCUGCUGGCCUGGGGUCAGAUUUCACAGUCUUCAGUCUGCUGGCCUGGGUUCAGAUUUCACAGUCUUCAGUCUGCUGGCCUGGGGUCAGAUUUCACAGUCUUCAGUCUGCUGGCCUGGGUUCAGAUUUCACAGUCUUCAGUCUGCUGUCCUGGGUUCAGAUUUCACAGUCUGCUGGCCUGGGUUCAGAUUUCACAGUCUUCAGUCUGCUGGCCUGGGGUCAGAUUUCACAGUCUUCAGUCUGCUGGCCUGGGGUCAGAUUUCACAGUCUUCAGUCUGCUGGCCUGGGUUCAGAUUUCACAGUCUUCAGUCUGCUGGCCUGGGGUCAGAUUUCACAGUCUUCAGUCUGCUGGCCUGGGUUCAGAUUUCACAGUCUUCAGUCUGCUGGCCUGGGGUCAGAUUUCACAGUCUUCAGUCUGCUGGCCUGGGUUCAGAUUUCACAGUCUGCUGGCCUGGGGUCAGAUUUCACAGUCUUCAGUCUGCUGGCCUGGGGUCAGAUUUCACAGUCUUCAGUCUGCUGGCCUGGGUUCAGAUUUCACAGUCUGCUGGCCUGGGGUCAGAUUUCACAGUCUUCAGUCUGCUGGCCUGGGGUCAGAUUUCACAGUCUGCUGGCCUGGGUUCAGAUUUCACAGUCUUCAGUCUGCUGGCCUGGGGUCAGAUUUCACAGUCUUCAGUCUGCUGGCCUGGGUUCAGAUUUCACAGUCUUCAGUCUGCUGGCCUGGGGUCAGAUUUCACAGUCUUCAGUCUGCUGGCCUGGGGUCAGAUUUCACAGUCUUCAGUCUGCUGGCCUGGGGUCAGAUUUCACAGUCUUCAGUCUGCUGGCCUGGGUUCAGAUUUCACAGUCUUCAGUCUGCUGGCCUGGGGUCAGAUUUCACAGUCUGCUGGCCUGGGGUCAGAUUUCACAGUCUUCAGUCUGCUGGCCUGGGGUCAGAUUUCACAGUCUUCAGUCUGCUGGCCUGGGUUCAGAUUUCACAGUCUGCUGGCCUGGGGUCAGAUUUCACAGUCUUCAGUCUGCUGGCCUGGGGUCAGAUUUCACAGUCUUCAGUCUGCUGGCCUGGGUUCAGAUUUCACAGUCUGCUGGCCUGGGUUCAGAUUUCACAGUCUUCAGUCUGCUGGCCUGGGGUCAGAUUUCACAGUCUUUAG